rnacentral:rRNA from 1 species
UACAGAGGUCUCAAGCGUUGUUCGGAUUCAUUGGGCGUAAAGGGUGCGUAGGUGGCGGGGCAAGUCUGGUGUGAAAUCCUGGGGCUCAACCCCGGAACUGCACUGGAUACUGCUUUGCUAGAGUACUGGAGAGGGAACUGGAAUUUACGGUGUAGCAGUGAAAUGCGUAGAUAUCGUAAGGAAGACCAGUGGCGAAGGCGAGUUCCUGGACAGUUACUGACACUGAGGCACGAAGGCCAGGGGAGCAAACGGG